UGGAGGGCAGUGGCGCUGAUGGCUUAGGGGGAGCUAGGGUUUCCUGCUAACUUAAGAUAGUGCGCCAUUUGGGCCAUUAAGUUUUUAUUCAUUUUGGGUCAUUUGUAAUUUUUGUUUUGGGCCUGUAAUAAUUUAUUUUUUGUUUGUAAAUCGGGCCUGGACUAAAUUGGCAUGUUACAAACUUUAUUCCUAUUAAAUAUAAUAUAUAUAAAUUCAAACCAGGCCAAUACCAACCAAACCCAUACCUAACCCCCAU
rnacentral:lncRNA from 1 species